rnacentral:rRNA from 1 species
AGAUUGAACGCUGGCGGCAUGCUUUACACAUGCAAGUCGAACGGCAGCGCGGGGGCAACCCUGGCGGCGAGUGGCGAACGGGUGAGUAAUGUAUCGGAACGUAUCCUGUAAUGGGGGAUAACCAGUCGAAAGAUUGGGUAAUACUGCAUACGCACGAGAGUGGAAAGUAGGGGAUCGCAAGACCUUACGUUAUAGGAGCGGCCGAUAUCUGAUUAGCUAGUUGGUGGGGUAAAGGCCUACCAAGGCGACGAUCAGUAGCUGGUCUGAGAGGACGACCAGCCACACUGGGACUGAGACACGGCCCAGACUCCUACGGGAGGCAGCAGUGGGGAAUUUUGGACAAUGGGCGAAAGCCUGAUCCAGCCAUGCCGCGUGCAGGAAGAAGGCCUUCGGGUUGUAAACUGCUUUAGUCUAGGAAAAAGGGGUGCGAGGUUAAUACCCUCGUGCUUUGAUGGUACUGGAAGAAUAAGCACCGGCUAACUACGUG